GAUGAACGCUGGCGGCGUGCCUAAUACAUGCAAGUCGAGCGAACGGACGAGAAGCUUGCUUCUCUGAUGUUAGCGGCGGACGGGUGAGUAACACGUGGAUAACCUACCUAUAAGACUGGGAUAACUUCGGGAAACCGGAGCUAAUACCGGAUAAUAUUUUGAACCGCAUGGUUCAAAAGUGAAAGACGGUCUUGCUGUCAACUAUCGAUGGAUCCGCGCUGCAUUAGCUAGUUGGUAAGGUAACGGCUUACCAAGGGAACGAUGGAUAGACGACAGGAGCGACGGGUCGGCCGCCCGGGAGCGUGAACGCGGACCAUGCGACUGCGAGAGGCAGCAGAAUGGUACGUGCCGCAGUAGUCGGAAAUCUUACGGAGCGGCGCCACGUGAGAUGCAGCGACCUUCGGAUCGUAAAACCCGGUUUUGAGUUGUAAACAUAUUUGUAUAGAGCAGAAGAGAACGUGACGGUACCUGCACAGGAAGCCACGGCUAACUACGUG
rnacentral:rRNA from 1 species